CAUUAAGAUAGUAAGGGCGUAUGGUGGAUGCCUUGGCACCGGAAGCCGAUGAAGGACGUGGCAAGCUGCGAUAAGC
rnacentral:rRNA from 1 species